rfam:Dipodomys ordii contig_23424, whole genome shotgun sequence.
GGUGGCUCAGUGGUAGAGCACUUGCCUUGCAUGCAUGACCCUGGGUUCGAUUCCUCAGCACCA